rnacentral:rRNA from 1 species
GUGAACGCUGGCGGUAGGCCUAACACAUGCAAGUCGAACGGCAGCACAGUAAGAUCUUGCUCUUACGGGUGGCGAGUGGCGGACGGGUGAGGAAUACAUCGGAAUCUACUUUUUCGUGGGGGAUAACGUAGGGAAACUUACGCUAAUACCGCAUACGACCUACGGGUGAAAGCAGGGGAUCUUCGGACCUUGCGCGAUUGAAUGAGCCGAUGUCGGAUUAGCUAGUUGGCGGGGUAAAGGCCCACCAAGGCGACGAUCCGUAGCUGGUCUGAGAGGAUGAUCAGCCACACUGGAACUGAGACACGGUCCAGACUCCUACGGGAGGCAGCAGUGGGGAAUAUUGGACAAUGGGCGCAAGCCUGAUCCAGCCAUACCGCGUGGGUGAAGAAGGCCUUCGGGUUGUAAAGCCCUUUUGUUGGGAAGGAAAAGCAGCAGGUUAAUACCCCGCUGUUCUGACGGUACCCAAAGAAUAAGCACCGGCUAACUUCGUG